ACCCUUUCCAUUAUCUUCUGCCGUUAUCGUUAACUUUUGAAGAGGCAUUUUGGGAAAUUUUAUUAUAUUUAAUUAAAAUCAGACCUUUAUUUAAAUUUUCCGACUAUCUAAACGAUAUUUUUCGGAAUUCUAUUUUUCGGUAGUCUGCAAUAUAAUAGUGAUAUGUGUCUAUAUCUUUAUAUGUAGUACUCCAUAUGUGUCCUAGGUAGUUUAUCUUAGAGGACGAGAGUACGGAUUUUUUUACUCAGAAAGGAAAUCUCAAAAUUAACUUAUGGAACUAUAUUUAUAAAA
rnacentral:lncRNA from 1 species